CCUACGGGAGGCUGCAGUGGGGAAGAUUGGGCAAUGGAGGAAACUCUGACCCAGCAACGCCGCGUGAAUGAUGAAGGUCUUCGGAGUGUAAAGUUCUUGUCUAAGGGAAGAAGAAAGUGACGGGACCUUAGGAAUAAGCAUCGGCUAACUACGUGCCAGCAGCCGCGGGAAUACGUAGGAGGCAAGCGUUAUCCGGAAUGACGGGGCGUAAAGGGUGCGUAGGGGGUUGUACAAGUUGGUAGCGUAACUCCGAGGCUUAACCUCGGCACUACUACCAAAACUGUUGGACUCGAGUGCAGGCGUGGCCACUGGCAUUCCUCGUGUCGCGGUGUCAUGCGUAGAUAUUAGGCG
rnacentral:rRNA from 1 species